ACUCCUACGGGAGGCAGCAGUGAGGAAUAUUGGACAAUGGGGGCAACCCUGAUCCAGCCAUGCCGCGUGCAGGAAGACUGCCCUAUGGGUUGUAAACUGCUUUUGUACGGGAAGAAACACCCCACGUGUGGGGGCUUGACGGUACCGUAAGAAUAAGGAUCGGCUAACUCCGUGCCAGCAGCCGCGGUAAUACGGAGGAUCCGAGCGUUAUCCGGAAUCAUUGGGUUUAAAGGGUCCGUAGGCGGGCCAUUAAGUCAGGGGUGAAAGUUUGCGGCUCAACCGUAAAAUUGCCUUUGAUACUGGUGGUCUUGAAUCGUUGUGAAGUGGCUAGAAUGUGUAGUGUAGCGGUGAAAUGCAUAGAUAUUACACAGAAUACCGAUUGCGAAGGCAGGUCACUAACAACGCAUUGACGCUGA
rnacentral:rRNA from 1 species